rnacentral:tRNA from 1 species
GCCGGGGUGGUGAAAUUGGCAGACACGCUGGACUCAAAAUCCAGUGGACUUCGCGGUCCGUGAGGGUUCGAAUCCCUCCCCCGGCA